GCAUGAACUUUCAUUGCACGAAACGCCUUCGACAAGUUUUAUGAACAUAACACAUGCAGGAAGACGUUCUCAACCAAACAUUAAUGGCUUCCAAAGAUCAGUUCUCACCAAACUGGAAACAUUAAUUGUUAAGCAAAAAGAAGCGUUGUCAAUAUUGCGUGCUCUGUUAAGCACUACGAAAGGUGUAGACGAGCACGAAAUUUUGGAAGAUGUUGUACCUAAUUCCUUAGAUUCGGUUGAAGAACUUCAGGACCAUUUGUUACCAAUUUUUAUCAUUAAAAAAGACUUUUUUUACCAUUUGUGUUUGAAGCUUGAAAACAUGCAUGUCAAAGUCUGAAACGUAACUUUAAUAACGAUUUUCGUGACGUUAGGGGGUCAGAUUAUCUGAUUAAACUAUAUGAAUCUA